CCUACGGGAGGCAGCAGUGCGGAAUUUUAGAUAAUGGAGGCAACUCUGAUCUAGCGACGCCGCGUGCAGGAAGAAGGUCUUCGGAUUGUAAACUGCUGUGGUAAGGGAAAAAUGCCAUGUAGAGUGGAAAGCUACAUGGAGGGAUGGUACUUUACUAGAAAGCCCCGGCUAACUACGUGCCAGCAGCCGCGGUAAUACGUAGGGGGCGAGCGUUACCCGGAAUCACUGGGCGUAAAGGGAGCGUAGGUGGCCUGACAUGUCGACUGUGAAAACCCGGAGCUCAACUCCGGACUUGCAGUUGAAACUGCCAGGCUUGAGGACGGUAGAGGAAGACGGAACUGCCAGUGUAGGGGUAAAAUCCUUAGAUAUUGGCAGGAACGCCGGUGACGAAGGCGGUUUUCUGGGCCGGUUCUGACACUGAUGCUCGAAAGCCAGGGGAGCGAACGGGAUUAGAUACCCCGGUAGUCCUGGCCCUAAACGAUGUUCACUAGGUGUGGGGAGCGGAAAGCUUUCCGUGCUAAAGC
rnacentral:rRNA from 1 species